GAGGGAAAGAAAGGACACUGUUAGUCAGAAACUUUCCACAACGUUUCAUUUCCCCAUUUUACAUUCAUCAACCCAAAUCCUCUCUCAGCGGUCCUCAUGUCCUGUCGGGCUGCGACACCCUUUUCCUGAAGCAGCAGUGUGAGAUUAGCAGGGAAACAUCAGGUUGUAUAGAUUAGUUCUGAAAGUAGAACGUUACGUUUAUAAUAAUAAACUUAAUCUUCUCCAACUCUUUCUAAUCUUUGGACAUACAUCUUAAAAAGAUGAUAGCAGCUCUCUGCAGCUAAAUGCUAACAGGACAUGAAUCAUCUUUUUGAUUACAGCUCCAACAAAUCAGAUAAUUAGAGGCGGCUACUGGUAUUCAUCGUAGUCUGAGAGGUGGAAGUUGGUGCAGGAAAUCAAAGUUGUUUCUGCAGUCGCACCCAGAGAAGAAUGAGAGUUACUCGGGGCAGAAAUACCAUAACGUCACGGUCGGAGGUUGCAUUUACGCAAUAUAAAUCCUACGCAGGGAUGCAAAAAUAAACACAGCGAGCACACACACUUCUGCAUCCAAAAAGACCACGUGCACUAAAAUAAUGGAGGAAUUCCUCCGCCGUGAUUCAGGCGCCUGCCACUCCUCGGUGUGUAAUGUGGCAGCAGAGUCUGUCCCACACGUGGAGCCGGGGGGGAAAAGCCAAUUAGAGCGAGAGUGGCGAGCAGAGAAGAAGUCAAUCAACGCUGCAGAAGGCCUGAAGGUGCGUCUGAAAAAGAAGGUGAAGUCACUCGCAUCCUGUUAUCGUUUUCUGUUCCCAAUCUCUGAGGAGCGAUUCAGUCGUGGGUUCAUUUCUGCCCUCGAGGCCGGAUGUGGUGCAGCAGAUUAAAAACAUGUCCCUCUUAUCUGAGGUGAACUCCCUGUUCUUGUAGCCGUGCCACCACUGCACCGGAUAGUCUGCACACGGCUCAACUCGGCCACACCACACACACAAAGCAACAGCAUGGAGACACAAAUAGGCGAGCGGGAUUUUACUGGAAGAACCUCGGCCCCGCUUCCCGGCCGGGAUUGAAGGCCGAGUCACGCCCACUGGUUCCGAAGGGAACCACAGAAGGGUUUGAAGUCAGGAAAGACUGACCAGUGAGGCUGAUGCACGUGGAGCCCUCCAGCGGGCCGCGGGGGUAAACAUCAAAGAUGCAUCGGUAGCAGCCCUCGUCAUCGGGCCGCACCCUCUUGAUGGUGAUGGAGCUGGCGUCGCGGUGGGAGGCGGUGAGCUGCACGUCGGGAUGCUGAUGGCUGACGCGCAGCGGCGCGCUCGGCUGGUACGCCAGGAGGACCUCCCCGCGCCCGUUGAGCCAGCGCACUUGCCGGACGGUUUCGCCGGUUUCCGUGGUGACGUUGCAGCCGAGCAGCAGGGGCCGGCCGACCUCUGCCCUCAGACUGGCGGGAGCCGUGACCUGACCUGAGUUCAGAGACCAUGUGACAUUUCAAUUUCAUGUUUUGAGAGGCAGUGAGAACAUUUACAACGAUAUUCUUUUUUUAAAGUCCAUCAUAUGAAAUCCUUCGUACAGCACAGAAGUAUAACCAGCAAAAUGUAUUUAAAGUAUCAAGUGGAGGAACUCCUUCUGCAUAAAAUGGCACUGAACGUACCUCGCGUCCUGGAAACUCCCACCACUACGACCCAGAGCAGCAGACACGGGGACCAGGCCGCUCCACACAUGGCACACUGAGGCUGGGCCACCAGCUCACGCACGAACACCGCCACCGCCAGAGGGCUGAGCCGGCCAGAACCACAACCAGCGACCUACAGCUCGCUUGUGGCCACACAACAUCAGCAAAGACACCAGCGUGAAUGCAGAUGCUGUGAUGCAGAUGUUCCCCCCCACCCCCACCCCUCCCCCCGUCCGCUGUCUGGUGUCGUGAACUCGUCUGUGCUGCUGGCUGCUCAGCACAUCGUACUGCCGGCUGUAGCGGGAGACACAAAGCCAGAGGAGGACGUGAGGAAGGGCUGCGUCCUCUCAGCAUCGUCACAGGUGACACGCUUUGCCAGGGAGGGAACAGCUUUGAGACAUUAGUUACCAUGGUAAUGCAAUGUGUCAGCAUCAACAACAACAACAACAGUAGCUGUCGACUCAUGAAAACAUCACCUGGAGGUUUUAUAUGAUGAUCAACAGCACACGCACACGCACACACACACACACACACACCCUGUGCCACACUUUGAUGUCUCGACAGGGACGACCUCGAGAUUUCACAAUUAAUAGCUGAAACUCCAACGUCAAAUAAAUUACAGUGCUGUAUGUGUGUUUUUGGCUUUAAACAUCACAGUGUGUGUAGAAGAUGUCAGAACUUCACUCCCACACCACUUCUCUGCAUCAACCGGUCUUUGAUCUGACUCAAACAAGCCGCCUAGAAACCACAAGACAGACCAGCUCUAGACCUCGGAGCUUUCCGGGCGUCUUGUGCUCAUUUACAGGGCCAACCAUCUGGCUUCAAGCAUGCAGCAUGCUGCAUGCAGCAUGCUCCUGUUGGGCAACAGUUAAAUCACGCUUUACACUACGAAAGCUCCACUGACGUCUCAUUGCAAAUCUUCUCCAGGCUUUUAUUAUGAAAUUCAAGCAGAUACAGCCGAAGGAGAGUGGAACGUGUCUCAUUCAAUAUGAGCUGAAGUUACAAUGUUCACAAAGAGACUGAAACCAGACUGCAACCGAGAUCCUGAACGUUGGCCCCUAAACAUCCAGAUGUGCUGGUUCAGUCCCAGAGAACAGAUGAUACAUGAGAUUUAUUGAUUAGUGGUGGGGAAAAAAAUAAUCCAGCCAAUGUUGUAGUUGUAAAUCUGUCUCUAACGAUGCAAUAAAAGAAAACACAUAUUAAAGCUUU